rnacentral:rRNA from 1 species
UACGGGGGGAGCAAGCGUUGUUCGGAUUUACUGGGCGUAAAGGGCGCGUAGGCGGCGUGGUAAGUCACUUGUGAAAUCUCUGAGCUUAACUCAGAACGGUCAAGUGAUACUGCUGUGCUAGAGUGCGGAAGGGGCAAUCGGAAUUCUUGGUGUAGCGGUGAAAUGCGUAGAUAUCAAGAGGAACACCUGAGGUGAAGACGGGUUGCUGGGCCGACACUGACGCUGAUGCGCGAAAGCCAGGGGAGCAAACGGG